UGCUAAUACCGAAUGUUGUGCAAUCUCCGCAUGGAGGAUGCAUUAAAGAUGGCCUCUACUUGUAAGCUAUCGCUUUGUGAUGGGUCUGCGUCCGAUUAGCUAGUUGGUGGGGUAACGGCCUACCAAGGCGACGAUCAGUAGCCGGUCUGAGAGGAUGAACGGCCACAUUGGAACUGAGACACGGUCCAGACUCUACGGGAGGCAGCAGUGGGGAAUCUUCCGCAAUGGGCGAAAGCCUGACGGAGCAACGCCGCGUGAGUGAAGAAGGGUUUCGGCUCGUAAAGCUCUGUUGACGGGGACGAAUGUGCGAGAUGCGAAUAGUUUCUUGCAAUGACGGUACCCGUCGAGGAAGCCACGGCUAACUACGUGCCAGCAGCCGCGGUAAUACGUAGGUGGCGAGCGUUGUCCGGAAUUAUUGGGCGUAAAGGGAGCGCAGGCGGGAAGGCAAGUCAGUCUUAAAAGUGCGGGGCUCAACCCCGUGAUGGGAUUGAAACUGUCUUUCUUGAGUGCAGGA
rnacentral:rRNA from 1 species